rnacentral:rRNA from 1 species
GGGGCAGCAUGGUCUUAGCUUGCUAAGGCUGAUGGCGACCGGCGCACGGGUGAGUAACACGUAUCCAACCUGCCGUCUACUCUUGGCCAGCCUUCUGAAAGGAAGAUUAAUCCAGGAUGGGAUCAUGAGUUCACAUGUCCGCAUGAUUAAAGGUAUUUUCCGGUAGACGAUGGGGAUGCGUUCCAUUAGAUAGUAGGCGGGGUAACGGCCCACCUAGUCAACGAUGGAUAGGGGUUCUGAGAGGAAGGUCCCCCACAUUGGAACUGAGACACGGUCCAAACUCCUACGGGAGGCAGCAGUGAGGAAUAUUGGUCAAUGGGCGAUGGCCUGAACCAGCCAAGUAGCGUGAAGGAUGACUGCCCUAUGGGUUGUAAACUUCUUUUAUAAAGGAAUAAAGUCGGGUAUGCAUACCCGUUUGCAUGUACUUUAUGAAUAAGGAUCGGCUAACUCCGUGCCAGCAGCCGCGGUAAUACGGAGGAUCCGAGCGCUAUCCGGAUUUAUUGGGUUUAAAGGGAGCGUAGAUGGAUGUUUAAGUCAGUUGUGAAAGUUUGCGGCUCAACCGUAAAAUUGCAGUUGAUACUGGAUGUCUUGAGUGCAGUUGAGGCAGGCGGAAUUCGUGGUGUAGCGGUGAAAUGCUUAGAUAUCACGAAGAACUCCGAUUGCGAAGGCAGCCUGCUAAGCUGCAACUGAC